rnacentral:misc_RNA from 1 species
AGGGACUGCUGGAUAUAUCGCACCAGAAGUAUUCUGCAGAAACUAUGGAGGUGUCUCUCAUAAGUCUGAUGUUUACAGCUAUGGAAUGUUGGUUCUGGAAAUGGCUGCUGGAAAAAAUAUUAUUGAUGAUGAUGUUGGAGCUUCUCCUGAACAUAUCAGUGAAACAUAUUUUCCUCACCUGAUAUACAAUAAACUUGAACAAGAUAAAGAACUUGGAUUGCAAGGCAUGAUGAAUCAAGAAGACAAGGAAAAUGCAAGGAAGAUUGUAAUAGUAGGCUUGUGGUGCAUUCAAACAGAUCCCUCAAACCGACCCCCAAUGAGCAGAGUAGUGGAAAUGUUGGAAGGAAACCUCGAGUCCUUGCUCAUCCCACCCAAGCCCUUCUUGUCAUCUCCUCCAAGAUCACAAUCCAGUUCAUCAUCUACAAUAGAUUCUUCCAUUUUCUAGACAACUAAUGAAUGUAAUCUUUUUCUUUUUUCCGUCUAGGGGAACAUCACAUCUGAUAGUUGUAGUCUUUUAGACCUGCUAAUGUUUCCUGCUCUUGAAG